rnacentral:lncRNA from 1 species
GUUAGCGCUCUACGUGUAUGAAUAUCUGCUCCAUGUAGGAGCUCAGAAAUCGGCCCAGACAUUUUUAUCAGAGAUAAGAUGGGAAAAAAACAUCACAUUGGGGGAGCCGCCAGGAUUCUUACAUUCUUGGUGGUGUGUGUUUUGGGAUCUCUACUGUGCAGCUCCAGAGAGACGGGAAACCUGUGAACACUCGAGCGAAGCAAAAGCCUUCCAUGAUUAUGUAAGAGAACAUACACUUGAAGACAAAGUGUCAUUGCCAGGUUUUAUUUUCUAAUCACUGCACUUAAAAGACAUAUUGGGCCACUUAACUUUUUUCUGUGGUACUUAAGAGCUGUGCCUGUAUAUCUCAUAAUUUAAAACAGCAGCAGAAAAGGAUGUUGAUGUUUGCUGAAACAGCGCAGAGUGGGACUGAGUCCCAGCAUGAAAGGCACUCACCCUUAGGCGUAUGUGACUCAUACAUGCAGAUAUAUGCAACUUUGUAAUCACAGUCUGUCCAAAUUCACC